rnacentral:rRNA from 1 species
UGAUCAUGGCUCAGAACGUACGCUGGCGGCACGCCUAACACAUGCAAGUCGAACGAAGUAGCAAUACUUAGUGGCAGACGGGUGAGUAACAUGUAGGUAUCUGCCCUUUGGCCUGGAAUAACACGAGGAAACUUGUGCUAAUACCGGAUAAGUCUUUACGGAGAAAGCUUUAUGCACCAUUGGAUGAGCCUGCACUUGAUUAGUUUGUUGGUGGGGUAAUGGCCUACCAAGACUGUGAUCAAUAGCUGAUUUGAGAGGAUGAUCAGCCACAUUGGGACUGAGACACGGCCCAAACUCCUACGGGAGGCAGCAGUGGGGAAUCUUGCACAAUGGAGGAAACUCUGAUGCAGCGAUGCCGCGUGAGUGAAGAAGGCCCUUGGGUUGUAAAGCUCUUUCGUCGGGGAAGAAAAUGACUGUACCCGAAUAAGAAGGUCCGGCUAACUUCGUGCCAGCAGCCGCGGUAAUACGAAGGGACCUAGCGUAGUUCGGAAUUACUGGGCUUAAAGAGUUCGUAGGUGGUUGAAAAAGUUAGUGGUGAAAUCCCAGAGCUUAACUCUGGAACUGCCAUUAAAACUUUUCAGCUAGAGUAUGAUAGAGGAAAGCAGAAUUUCUAGUGUAGAGGUGAAAUUCGUAGAUAUUAGAAAGAAUACCAAUUGCGAAGGCAGCUUUCUGGAUCAUUACUGACACUGAGGAACGAAAGCAUGGGUAGCGAAGAGGAUUAGAUACCCUCGUAGUCCAUGCCGUAAACGAUGUGUGUUAGACGUUGGAAAUUUAUUUUCAGUGUCGCAGGGAAACCGAUAAACACACCGCCUGGGGAGUACGACCGCAAGGUUAAAACUCAAAUGAAUUGACGGGGACCCGCACAAGUAGUGGAGCAUGUGGUUUAAUUCGAAGAUACGCGCAGAACCUUACCAACACUUGACAUGUUCGUCGCGACUCUAAGAGAUUAGAGUUUUCGGUUCGGCCGGACGAAACACAGGUGCUGCAUGGCUGUCGUCAGCUCGUGUCGUGAGAUGUUGGGUUAAGUCCCGCAACGAGCGCAACCCUCACUUUUAGUUGCCAUCAUUAAGUUGGGCACUCUGAAAGAACUGCCAGUGAUAAGCUGGAGGAAGGUGGGGAUGACGUCAAGUCCUCAUGGCCCUUACGUGUUGGGCUACACACGUGCUACAAUGGUAUCUACAACAGGAAGCAAGACUGCGAAGUUGAGCAACUCCCUAAAAGAUACCUCAGUUCGGAUUGCACUCUGCAACUCGAGUGCAUGAAGCUGGAAUUACUAGUAAUCGUGGAUCAGCGUGCCACGGUGAAUGCGUUCCCGGGUCUUGUACACACCGCCCGUCACACCAUGGGAGUUGGUUCUACCUUAAGGCAAGGUUUCAAACCCUUGACCACGGUAUAGUCAGCGACUGGGGUGAAGUCGUAACAAGGUA